UUGACCUCAAAUCGAGUAGGAUUACCCGCUGAACUUAAGCAUAUCAAUAAGCGGAGGAAAAGAAACUAACAAGGAUUCCCCUAGUAACGGCGAGUGAAGAGGGAAAAGCUCAAAUUUUGAAUCUGGCGUCUUUGGCGUCCGAGUUGUAAUCUAGAGAAGUGUUUUCCGUGGCGGACCGUGCACAAGUCUCCUGGAAUGGAGCGUCAUAGAGGGUGAGAAUCCCGUGUAUGGCAUGGACUACCGUUACUCUGUGAUACACUCUCAACGAGUCGAGUUGUUUGGGAAUGCAGCUCUAAAUGGGUGGUAAAUGCCAUCUAAAGCUAAAUAUUGGCGAGAGACCGAUAGCGAACAAGUACCGUGAGGGAAAGAUGAAAAGCACUUUGGAAAGAGAGUGAAACAGUACGUGAA
rnacentral:rRNA from 1 species